rnacentral:rRNA from 1 species
CCUACGGGUGGCAGCAGUGAGGAAUAUUGGUCAAUGGGCGAGAGCCUGAACCAGCCAAGUCGCGUGAAGGAUGAAGGAUCUAUGGUUUGUAAACUUCUUUUAUAUGGGAAUACAGUGAGGAACGUGUUCCUUUUUGUAUGUACCAUAUGAAUAAGGAUCGGCUAACUCAUUGCCAGCAGCCGCGCUAAUACGGGGGAUGCGAGGUUUAUCCGGAUCUAUUGGGUUUAAAGGGUGCGUAGGCGGGCUUUUCAGUCAGCGGUAAAAAGUCGGGGCUCAACCCCGUCCGGCCGUUGAAACUGGGGACCUUGAGUGGGCGAGAGGAAGGCGGAAUGCGAGGUGUAGCGGUGAAAUGCAUAGAUAUCACGCAGAACCCCGAUGGCGAAGGCGGCAUGCCGGCUUCCGACUGACGCUGAAGCACGAAAGCGUGGGGAGCGAACAGGAUUAGAUACCCGUGUAGUC